UACAGGGGGGGCAAGCGUUGUUCGGAAUUACUGGGCGUAAAGGGCUCGUAGGUGGCCAACUAAGUCGGACGUGAAAUCCCUCAGCUUAACUGGGGAACUGCAUCCGAUACUGGAUGGCUUGAGUUUGGGAGAGGGAUGCGGAAUUCCAGGUGUAGCGGUGAAAUGCGUAGAUAUCUGGAGGAAUACCGGUGGCGAAGGCGGCAUCCUGGACCGACAUUGACACUGAGGCGCGAAAGCCAGGGGAGCAAACGGG
rnacentral:rRNA from 1 species